rnacentral:pre_miRNA from 11 species
GCCUGCCCUCCAGGAGCUUACAAUCUAGUGGGAAAGUUAGAAAGGCAACUCAAUAGACUGUGAGCUCCUUGAGGGCAAGGA